rnacentral:rRNA from 2 species
GUCUAUGGCCAUACCACCUUGAAUGUGCCCAAUCUUGUCUGACCUUGGAACCUAAGCAGGAUCUGGCCUGGUUAGUACUAGGAUGGGAAACUGCCUGGGAAGACCAGGUGCUGUAGGCU